CCUACGGGAGGCUGCAGUGGGGAAUAUUGGGCAAUGGAGGCAACUCUGACCCAGCAACGCCGCGUGAAUGAUGAAGGUCUUCGGAUUGUAAAGCUCUGUGAUGGGGGAUGAACACAUUGACGGUACCCCAAUAGCAAGCCAGUGCUAACUGCGUGCCAGCAGCCGCGGUAAUACGUAGGGGGCACGCGUUUACCGGAAUGACUGGGGGUAAAGGGUGCGUAGGGGGUUUAGUAAGUCGGCGGUGAAAUUCCGGGGCUUAACCUGGGCACUACAGCCAAAACUGGUAGACGAGAGUGCAGGUGGGGUAGGUGGAAUUCCUGGUGUAGCGGUGGAAUGCGUAGAGAUUAGGAGGAACAACAGGGGCGAAGGCGACUUACUGGACUGUAACUGACGCUGAGGCACGAAAGCGUGGGGAGCAAACAGGAUUAGAUACCCCAGUAGUC
rnacentral:rRNA from 1 species